rnacentral:rRNA from 1 species
GACGAACGCUGGCGGCGCGCCUAACACAUGCAAGUCGAACGAGCGAGAGAGAGCUUGCUUUCUCGAGCGAGUGGCGAACGGGUGAGUAACGCGUGAGGAACCUGCCUCAAAGAGGGGGACAACAGUUGGAAACGACUGCUAAUACCGCAUAAGCCCACAGGUCGGCAUCGACCAGAGGGAAAAGGAGCAAUCCGCUUUGAGAUGGCCUCGCGUCCGAUUAGCUAGUUGGUGAGGUAACGGCCCACCAAGGCAACGAUCGGUAGCCGGACUGAGAGGUUGAACGGCCACAUUGGGACUGAGACACGGCCCAGACUCCUACGGGAGGCAGCAGUGGGGAAUAUUGCACAAUGGGGGAGACCCUGAUGCAGCGACGCCGCGUGGAGGAAGAAGGUCUUCGGAUUGUAAACUCCUGUUGUUGAGGAAGAUAAUGACGGUACUCAACAAGGAAGUGA